rnacentral:rRNA from 1 species
UAUUUUAAAGAGAGUUUGAUCCUGGCUCAGGACGAACGCUGGCGGCGUGCCUAAUACAUGCAAGUCGAACGAACGGAGGAAGAGCUUGCUCUUCCAAAGUUAGUGGCGGACGGGUGAGUAACACGUGGGCAACCUGCCUGUAAGUUGGGGAUAACUCCGGGAAACCGGGGCUAAUACCGAAUGAUAAAGUGUGGCGCAUGCCACGCUUUUGAAAGAUGGUUUCGGCUAUCGCUUACAGAUGGGCCCGCGGUGCAUUAGCUAGUUGGUAGGGUAAUGGCCUACCAAGGCAACGAUGCAUAGCCGACCUGAGAGGGUGAUCGGCCACACUGGGACUGAGACACGGCCCAGACUCCUACGGGAGGCAGCAGUAGGGAAUCUUCCGCAAUGGACGAAAGUCUGACGGAGCAACGCCGCGUGUAUGAAGAAGGUUUUCGGAUCGUAAAGUACUGUUGUUAGAGAAGAACAAGGAUAAGAGUAACUGCUUGUCCCUU